rnacentral:tRNA from 2 species
GCCCAGGUGGUGAAAUUGGUAGACACAAGGGACUUAAAAUCCCUCGGCUUCACGGCCGUGCCGGUUCGAUUCCGGCCCUGGGCACCA